rnacentral:rRNA from 1 species
AACGAACGCUGGCGGCAUGCCUAACACAUGCAAGUCGAACGAAGGCUUCGGCCUUAGUGGCGCACGGGUGCGUAACGCGUGGGAAUCUGCCCUUUGGUUCGGAAUAACAGCUGGAAACGGCUGCUAAUACCGGAUGAUGACGAAAGUCCAAAGAUUUAUCGCCAGAGGAUGAGCCCGCGUUGGAUUAGGUAGUUGGUGGGGUAAAGGCCUACCAAGCCGACGAUCCAUAGCUGGUCUGAGAGGAUGAUCAGCCACACUGGGACUGAGACACGGCCCAGACUCUUACGGGAGGGAGCAGAGGGGAAUAUUGGACAAUGGGCGCAAGCCUGAUCCAGCAAGGCCGCGUGAGUGAUGAAGGCCGUAGGGUUGUAAAGCUCUUUUACCCGGGAAGAUAAUGACUGUACCGGGAGAAUAAGCCCCGGCUAACUCCGUG